AUUGAACGCUGGCGGCAGGCCUAACACACGCAAGUCGAACGGUAACAGGGAUCAGCUUGCUGAUUCGCUGACGAGUGGCGGACGGGUGAGUAAUGUCUGGGAAACUGCCUGAUGGAGGGGGAUAACUACUGGAAACGGUAGCUAAUACCGCAUAACGUCGCAAGACCAAAGAGGGGGACCUUCGGGCCUCUUGCCAUCGGAUGUGCCCAGAUGGGAUUAGCUAGUAGGUGGGGUAACGGCUCACCUAGGCGACGAUCCCUAGCUGGUCUGAGAGGAUGACCAGCCACACUGGAACUGAGACACGGUCCAGACUCCUACGGGAGGCAGCAGUGGGGAAUAUUGCACAAUGGGCGCAAGCCUGAUGCAGCCAUGCCGCGUGUAUGAAGAAGGCCUUCGGGUUGUAAAGUACUUUCAGCGGGGAGGAAGGGAGUAAAGUUAAUACCUUUGCUCAUUGACGUUACCCGCAGAAGAAGCACCGGCUAACUCCGUG
rnacentral:rRNA from 1 species